GUGGUCAGGCGCCUGCCCUGGCUGGAGGGUCUCCGCGGGCUGGCCUGAGCCUCCUAGCUCACUGUUGACCCCUGCAAAAUUCGCCUCUGCGGAUGGUCUGCGGGCCCUGUCUGAGGGGUCUCAGGCCCCCUUGCGCCUCUAGAGCUUCCCUUUCUACCUAGAAACUGAGCUUGCCCCACAGAACUUGCUGGUCAUUCAGGCUUUCUGCUGGGAAACUGACUACCAAGUGGUUGGCCUACUAUUCCAGGACAAAGAACAGAAAGCAUCUCACCUUUCAGAGGCAGAGUGGACAGUGAGAGAGAGAGACAGAAAGAAAGGUCUUCCUUUGCCGUUGGUUCACCCUCCAAUGGCCGCCACGGCCGGCGCGCUGCGGCCGGCACACCGCGCUGAUCCGAUGGCAGGAGCCAGGAUGGGCCUUAAUUCAACCUGAUUGGCGUCCUUGUGAGAAGAAGAAAUUUGGACACACUGGGAGACACCAGACAGAUCCUUGAGCAUGCAGAGACGACCAUGGAAGGCACUGGGAGAAGACGGCCAUCUGCAGUUCUGGGCAGAAAGUCUCAGAAGGAACCAAAGCAGUGAACCAAACCAAAAAUCAGUUGAUUGUGGACUUCCAGCCUCCAGAUCUAUGAGAAAAUACAUGUCUGCUUGACCACCAUAUCUGUGGUAUUUUGUGAAACAAAAUGGAGUGUGUUGUAUGUUGAGGACUCGGCUCUUCUUGGCAGUUGAUGCAACUCAGUAAUUUUUAUUGCAACUGGAAGACAAUAUAUCACAGAAACUUUAUGGUAAGUCUGGGGAAAAGUGUUAUUUACAAUAAAUGAUGAAAUAGUUUGUCUUUGGCAAUAUGAUUACACAUGAAGAAUGUGAGAUGCAAGUAUGGAUGUCUCCAAAGCAAUGCCACCAAGUCCCUAGGGUUCAGCUGAUGGUGUCUGUCUCUGCACUGCUGCUUUAGGUUAACACAAACACAAAUGAAUGUCACUUUUUUUCUCUUUUAUGGUGUUCCAUUUGUAUUCAUGACAUUAGCAGUUUCAUACAGAAAAAAAUUGGCUUUUGAAAAAUUAUUACUCCUGUAAAUUAAUUUGACCAUAUAGGUCUCUUGGCCUGGAAAGUCAGAUGACCCCAAGCAUCAACGGUAAACCUCUUGGUCUUCUGAUUGCUUUAUCACUGCUGUUUUCUUUUUUUUCUUUUCUGCAAUACAAAAACAAAAAUUUAGAAAUGUUACAGAAUCAGAGUAUAAAAAAAGUACAAGUGCUUCCCAGACACACAGAUAUUUUUUUUCCUCCACAUAUUCACUGUGGCAGUAUAAGUAGUAAAUGUGAUGACACAGCAUGAGACUGGUUACUGAAUCAGCUGUGGGCUUAGAUGUUCUCAGCAGUGCAUACUCAACAAGUGCUGAACGCUUAAAUAACUGAAAGGGUGCUAAGUUUCAUAUACCAAGGGGCUGAGGAGCUCAGGCCAUAGUCAUGAGAGGAUGGAAGGGUUUCUAUGUUUGAUAGGUUCACCAUAUUAAAGUCUUGGAGAAUCCAGUAUGGACUAUCAAUUAUUUGCAAAAGGUGGAGAUGGUUAUUUCUGUGUUUUAAAGAUUCUUUAUAUAUUCUGCAUAUAAAUCCUUUGCCAGAUACAUGUAAUGUGAAAAUAUCCUUUACAUUAUUUAUAUCUACCAGGAGACAGAUAUAGAGACAGAGUUUGGAGUAUCUGAGACUUAUUAGGGAGUGGGGAACAAUGCUUGUGAAACACGAGAAGAGGAAGCAAGAUUAGGCAGGGAAAGCAUUCAGAAAGUGCUGCUGGUUUGAUUCUUGUAGGAAAGAAGGAGGAGGAAGCAGGAAUGGGUACAGAGACAUCAAAUUGCUAUAUACAUCUGAUGAUGUCUUGGCCAAGGUUUUAAGGAGCUCUGGAGCAAAGAGCAAGAGAGUUUUUGCAUCUGGCACAGAUGGCAAGACCUUACCACUUUUGCCAAGCUCAUGUAUUGGCUGGGGGAUGAUCUGAAAGAGUAUGGCCUUGGAUGGAAACCUGAAGCAGAUCCUGUAGGCGCCAACAGUUGGAGGCUGACAGUUAACCGUGCCUUCAUGGACCAGGUGAUCUUUCAAGGUCCUUUCAAGUGUGUGAUUCUAUUACUUCCAAAGCAGCAUACCUCUUCUUUUUUUUUUCCUUUUUUUAAGUGAACUGUAAAUAACAGUGACAUCCCCUGCAUAGAUUUUGAUGACACAAUCUGAACUUACUCCAGAGCAUUUAUUAAACUCCUCUUGCAGCUCAGUUAUCUGUUAUGUAAAUACUCUGAUGAAGUCAACCUUUAGGAUUCAUUGUAUUUUGUUCCCAUUCUUCUGUUUAUCCCUCAUCCUUGUCUUUUCUUUCAAAGCCUUCAACAACUCUUUUUUAUGUCUUCCUAUUUCCAAUCUCCUGCUGUUUCAUUGUUUAUCUCAGUCUUCCACACUUUAUCUGUGCCUUUUGCAAACUGCUCUUUUGUAUUUGACAUAAUAAACUCUAAGAGGGCAAAGACCUCUUCUGGAAUCCUCUUCAAAGCUUCUAGCAUACUGGCUUUAAUCAUCCAGUGUUUGGCAAUCAGCCUGAAACAGAACUGACUUCCAUAUGUCAAAGGAGGCAGUUUUCCCACUUUUCCUUGUCCCUUCUAAACUUUCAAUCCUUAAUACUAUUCAGUGAUCAAAUCUUUUGAUGCUAUCUUUUAAUUUCUUAUGUCAGGAUUGCUAAGACUAUGUAAUAUAUGUUAGAAAAUAUAAAUUAGUUUCUGGUGGCAGAAAUGGAUGGGGAGCAUUCAAAAUGCAUAAAUAAAUUCGUUUCAAAACAAAUAACAAAAACAAUGGUCCAUUCUCACCCAAUGCAGGCAUUUGGGGAGUGAAUCAGCAGAUAGAAGCACUUUCUGUUUUUCUGCUUUUCAAAUAAAUAAAUUAAAAACCUUUUUAAAAAAGAAGUAUUAGGAUAAGGAUGGUAGCUUUGGGGCAGAGUUUCCUGAAGUCUAUUUAAAAGAGUUAAAUUUGUUUUAAGGUAUUGUGUCUGUAGAAAACCCCAAUUUAAAAAAAAAUUUUUUUUUGACAGGCCAAGUGGACAGUGAGAGAGAGAGACAGAGAGAAAGGUCUUCCUUUUUCUGUUGGUUCACCCUGCAAUGGCCACUGUGGCCAGCGCACCACGCUGAUCCGAAGCCCGGAGCCAGGUGCUUCUCCUGGUCUCCUGUGGGGUGCAGGGCCCAAGCACUUGGGCCAUCCUCCACUGCACUCCCUGGCCACAGCAGAGAGCUGGCCUGGAAGAGGGGCAACCGGGACAGAAUCCGCCGCCCCGACCGGGACUAGAACCCGGUGUGCCAGUGCCACAGGUGGAGGAUUAGCCUAUUGAGCCGUGGCACCGGCUCAUCUUGCUGUUUUAACAUGCUGUGUUUUUCUUUUCCUUUACAGCAAAACUUCUUAAAAAGAGUCACUUUCUCUCUUCCUUUUCAGCUCCCUGUAAUCCAGCUUCCAGCCUUGUAUACUAUUUAAAAUGCGGUUGAAGGGAUUCAGACAAUUUCCGUAAUGUUUUGGCCAAUGAAUAUCAAAUCGCUCCCUCCAGCACAGCUCUCCAGGAGGCAGCAGACUCAUGUGUUGAACUGCCUGCAGAGUGUCCCCACUCAGCUUUACCACACGGAUUCUAAUGCAUCACAUCUCGUUUUACCUUUUCACCUUUCAGUGUUCUCCUGUGUUCUCCAGCUUCUUGCUACUCAAAUCAUGGUACCAACACCUGAAGUAUCAGCUCACUGGGGGCCUGUUAGAAAUGCAGAGUUCCUGGUUCCAUCCCAGAGGUACUGAAUCAGAAUCUGCACCCUCAGCUGGUUAUUAUUCACAGUCAAGUUUGAGAAGCAUUGCAGUUCAUUGAAUCGCACGACCAGCAGCUUAGUGCCCAAGCUGCAAUGCUGACUCCUGUUUUCCCCCAGUGAGCUGAUGUUACAGGUGUUGGUACCACAGUUUGAGUAGCAAGAAGCUGGAGGGACCGGCACUGUGGCACAGCUGGUUAACGCCCUGGCCUGAAGAGCCAGCAUCCCAUGUGGGCGCUGGUUCUAGUCCCAGCUGCUCCUCUUCCAAUACAGCUCUCUGCUGUGGCCUGGGAAAGCAGUGGAAGAUGGCCCAAGUCCUUGGG